UAUCGGAACAAGAGAAAAAAAAAACGAAAAGAAAGAAGAAAAUAUGAAAGAAAAGCG
rnacentral:tRNA from 1 species